UCAUUCUCAUCCCCCCCUCUCUCUCUCUCUCUCUCUCUCUCUCUCUCUAACCCCCCUUGAAGAUAGGCGAGACUCUUGGGGGACAGAGAGAUAAAAGAGAUCAGAGAAAGCACACAUAGUCCACAUAUAUAUAGAGACACACAUGAUCGUCAAAAUCAUGGAUUUUGAAGAAGAGGAUAGAUAGAUAUGUGAAGCUUUAGCUUUUGAGGGGAAUGUUGUCUGGCUCGAGGACACUUUUCCUUGAUCUGUAUUUCUUAUAGAUCAACCUGUAUAUUUAUAUCUAGGUAUACAUAUAUAUGGCUUUUGGUGAAUUAGUGUCGUCGGACCAGGCUUCAUUCCCCCCAAUUUAUGGCUUCCAUUGACCUGUUGUUUUUCCACGGCAGAGGGCUUAAUUCUUCACAGUCUUAGAGAUUGGUGUAAUGAUGGAGUAUUUGACUAUUUUUGCCCCUUUUUCAGUUUCAUAGACUGCAUAAAAAGAUCUGGCUUUUUUGGCUUUCUAUUUAAACUUUGCCCAAAGGACAACUAUAACUUUGGGAAAGCGUGUGUGUCUGGUUGUCCAAAAGGAAGCCUGGUCACUUGCCUUUCCUUUGGUAUCUUCUCAGUGGAUAUACCUAUUGAAACCCUAAUCUUGUUCAUCUUUGAUUUGCUGUGAAAGGCUUUGUGAUUCUCAAAGCUUUUAGUCACUCACAUUGUCUUUUCCCCUCCUGACUUUUUGUCCCUUCAUUAUGGUUUUAUUUGACUGACUGUACGCUAGCUAGCUCAGAGUCAAGGGGCUUAGAACACAGCCAUUGCUGAAAACUAAAGGUAUUGAAAAUGCAUAUGCUAGACAAGAACAAGGAGCACUGUGGAGGUAAUCUAGAUGCCCCAAACAAGUUACAAACUACUAAUUUGAUCAAGUUCUUCUUAGAACUUUCUUAAGCUUAAGAGUUUAAGAAUUCCCUUUGUACAAUCCCAGAGUUCAAUUUCUUCUUGAAGUCCAUGUAAUCUAGUGUUUUGUUGUCUCUCCCUUAUUUAUUUAUUUAUUUUUUGUUACAUUGGAGUUCGGACUGGGUGCCAUCAUGCUACCACCACUAUAAUGGGAACCCAUUGGCGUUAUCUCCCUUCUUUACAAACUAUACAUGUAUUCUUCAAGGCUACUGAUUAAUCCCAGAGUUCAAUUUCUUCUCAAUUA